AUGCCAGCAGCCGCGGUAAUACGUAGGGGGCGAGCGUUACCCGGAAUUACUGGGCGUAAAGGGGGCGUAGGCGGCCCGGCAAGUCAAGUGUGAAAUCCGGCGGCUCAACCGCUGGGCUGCGCUUGAAACUGCCGGGCUUGAGUGCAGCAGAGGGAGACGGAAUUGCCGGUGUAGGGGUGAAAUCCGUAGAUAUCGGCAAGAACGCCGGUGGGGAAGCCGGUCUCCUGGGCUGUUACUGACGCUGAGGCCCGAAAGCUGGGGGAGCGAACCGGAUUAGAUACCCGGGUAGUCCCAGCCGUAAACGAUGCUCACUAGGUGUGGGGGAGUAAUUCCUCCGUGCUGAAGCUAACGCGAUAAGUGGGCCGCCUGGGGAGUAUGCCCGCAAGGGUGAAACUUAAAGGAAUUGGCGGGG
rnacentral:rRNA from 1 species